GCAGGGUUAGUUUAAUUAAAAUAUUAGCUUGUCGGGCUAAAGAAGAUUUGUGUAUGUUACCCUGUG
rnacentral:tRNA from 1 species